UACGGGGGGAGCAAGCGUUGUUCGGAUUUACUGGGCGUAAAGGGCGCGUAGGCGGCCUGUGCAAGUCAGUUGUGAAAUCUCCGAGCUUAACUCGGAACGGUCAACUGAUACUGCUCGGCUAGAGUGCGGAAGGGGCAACUGGAAUUCUUGGUGUAGCGGUGAAAUGCGUAGAUAUCAAGAGGAACACCUGCGGCGAAGGCGGGUUGCUGGGCCGACACUGACGCUGGAGGCGCGAAAGCUAGGGGAGCGAACGGG
rnacentral:rRNA from 1 species